rnacentral:rRNA from 1 species
UACGGAGGGUGCAAGCGUUAUCCGGAUUCACUGGGUUUAAAGGGUGCGUAGGUGGGUCUGUAAGUCAGUGGUGAAAUCUCCAAGCUUAACUUGGAAACUGCCAUUGAUACUAUAGGUCUUGAAUAUCCUGGAGGUGAGCGGAAUAUGUCAUGUAGCGGUGAAAUGACUUAGAUAUGACAUAGAACACCAAUUGCGAAGGCAUGCUC